rnacentral:rRNA from 1 species
UGGUUUGCGCGGCAGGCGUAUCAUGCAGUCGAGCGAUGCGAUGAGGAGCUUGCUCUUAUGAGAUUAGCGGCGGACGGGUGAGUAACGUGUGGGUAUCCUGCCCAUAAGACUGGAAUAACUCCGGGAAACCGGGGCUAAUACCGGAUAACAUUUUGAACCGCAUGGUUCGAAAUUGAAAGGCGGCUUCGGCUGUCGCUUAUGGAUGGACCCGCGUCGCAUUAGCUAGUUGGUGAGGUAACGGCUCACCAAGGCAACGAUGCGUAGCCGACCUGAGAGGGUGAUCGGCCACACUGGGACUGAGACACGGCCCAGACUCCUACGGGAGGCAGCAGUAGGGAAUCUUCCGCAAUGGACGAAAGUCUGACGGAGCAACGCCGCGUGAGUGAUGAAGGCUUUCGGGUCGUAAAACUCUGUUGUUAGGGAAGAACAAGUGCUAGUUGAAUAAGCUGGCACCUUGACGGUACCUAACCAGAAAGCCACGGCUAACUACGUGCCAGCAGCCGCGGUAAUACGUAGGUGGCAAGCGUUUCCGGAAUUAUUGGGCGUAAAGCGCACGCAGGUGGUUUCUUAAGUCUGAUGUGAAAGCCCACGGCUCAACCGUGGAGGGUCAUUGGAAACUGGGAGACUUGAGUGCAGAAGAGGAAAGUGGAAUUCCAUGUGUAGCGGUGAAAUGCGUAGAGAUAUGGAGGAACACCAGUGGCGAAGGCGACUUCUUGUUCAUAGACUGCCGCUCAGGUGCGAAAGCGUGGGGAGCAACCAGGAUUAGAUACCUUGGUAGUCCACGCGGUAAACGAUGUCGAUUAGAAGUUGGUUGCUUUCGGCCGUUACUUUUGGAGUUAACGCGUUAAAUCGUCCGCCUGGGGAGUACGGCCGCAAGGUUGAAACUCAAAUGAAUUGACGGGGGCCCGCACAAGCGGUGGAGCAUGUGGUUUAAUUCGAAGCAACGCGAAGAACCUUACCUAGUCUUGACAUCCUUAGACAACCCCAGAGAUAGGGUUUUUCCUUCGGGAACUCUGAGACAGGGGGGGGCAUGGUUGUUGUCAGCUCGUGUUGUGAAAUGUUGGGUUAAGUCCCGCAACGAGCGCAACCCUUAUCUUUUGUUGCCCUCGAUUCGGUCGGGAACUCAAAGGAGACUGCCGGUGAUAAACCGGAGGAAGGUGGGGAUGACGUCAAUUCAUCAUGCCCCUUAGGCCUAGGGUUACACACGUGUUCCAAUGGCGUAUACAAAGAGAAGCAACCCCGCGAGAGCAAGCGAAAUUCAUAAACCAUUUUCUAGUCCGGAUUGGAGUUUGCAAUUGGCCUCCAUGAAGUGGGAAUCGUUGGUAAUGGUAGAUCACAAUGCUCCGGUGAAUAGUUUCCCGGCCUUGGUACACACCGCCCGUCACACCAUGGGAGUGGGACCACAGGAAGUAGGUGGGUUACCCUUCGGAACCACCCGCUACAUAGUGAUCCGGCUUGGUG